UACAGAGGGUGCGAGCGUUGUCCGGAAUCACUGGGCGUAAAGGGCGCGUAGGUGGCCUGGUAAGUAGGGGGUGAAAUCUCGCGGCUCAACUGCGAGGCUGCCUCCUAAACUGUCAGGCUCGAGCAGAGUAGAGGCAGGUGGAAUUCCCGGUGUAGCGGUGGAAUGCGUAGAGAUCGGGAAGAAUACCCGUGGCGAAGGCGGCCAGCUGGGCCAGGUCCGACACUGAGGCGCGAAAGCGUGGGGAGCAAACAGG
rnacentral:rRNA from 1 species